AGAUUAAUAUUUUUAAGAUUGUUUUUAUUGUAAUUUAUUAUACUCCUCGUAACUGAUAAGAUGCGUGCGUUUUAGAUAUAAGUCCUAGUUUUAAGUAUAAUAUAAGAUAGAUUAAGAUUUUAGUAUUAAGAUUUAAUUUUAAUUUCUUUAUUGUAAUUUAUUAUAUUCUACGUAAGAUGCGUGCGUUUUAGAUUUAAGUCCUAGUUUUAAGUAUAAUAUAGAUAGAUUAAGAUUUUAGUAUUAAGAUUUAAUUUUUAAUAUUUU